GGUAGGUGUGCGGGGCUUUGACUCAGUAGUCAGCUCCAGUGACAUGCCAGGCCUCCGAGUAAUCGCCAGAGACAUGACAACUACUUAGUAUGUAAGUAAAUUAUUUGUUUUCACACCAAUUUCUUGUUCUCGACGUUCAUUCCUGUGAUUCUGUCAGGACAGUUAAUAAAAUGUUUAUUUUCCAGUGGAUUACGAAUCUCUACCUAAGAAGGAAAUAAUUUACCAGUCAAAGCUCAAGAGUAUCAUUCUCUGUCUGUCUCGCAUACAUUCAUACACUCACACGUACAGCAUACGAACACAUAAACAUCAUACACACAUGAGCACAAAUAAAGUUUUGAGUAUCCUUUGAUGUUUUCCUGAAUCCUGAAUAAUCAGACAGCAUCCUAAGUGAGAUCACCAACAUGCUCUUGAUAAAAACAACUACAACUAGUCAUAUCCACUGCUCUGUGCUGUUGGUAGCAAGAGUCACCAUCACCUCACUCAGACACUGACCACAGAAAUCACUUAUACCAAGUGAGAAAUAGCAGUUUAUGAGGCAUUCUUCUGUGUAAACACAGCUUCUACAGAACAUCUAUGUUUAUUUUCUUUUGUAAGUUGUACUAAAGCGUUUAAGAUAACUGAUGAUGUCAACAUCUCUAUAUAAAUAGCGCUGUAUACUUUUACAUGUAGACAUUAGCAUUGUCUGUAAGUUGUGUUUGCUAGACAAGUAUGUUGUGUGAUGUCUAGUUUAUAAAGUUUACUGAACACUAACAAGAGCAUUUUGAAUAUGUAUAUGGUGCUGUGAGACUUGAUUUAGCCUUGCUUUAAUCCUUUGACAUAUUGAAAUGAACUAUUCACUCCACUAAGUAAAUUAGGAAACUGUUAAAUAAACUUUUACUGUCACCGAUACAAAUUUUGUUUCAGAGAAAGAAAACAGAAAAUGCAGUUUUCCACACUGCUCCGUCACACGGCUAUCUCUCGACAAGCAAGUUGUGUGACAAAUAUUUUUGUGAUACUCGCUGUUGUUGUCACCGGUUGUACAGCAUACGAAGAGGCAACACUAACAUGCGUGUUUGGUGAGAACAUCGGUGAACAAAGACAAAACUUCAAACUUUUUGAUGAUCAAGAAGAACUUGCACUCAAGUGCACCUGGAAAAGAGAAAAACUUUGGUGCAUGUGGGCGGCGGCUACAGUUUCGACUUCCAACCGUCAGACACCGCCUCGGUUCAGAGAACACAGACCCCCAACCCAUCGAAAUGCUCGUGCUUUAUUGCGGGAAAUGAUAACACCGAGCACGAGAGACCAUGUUUUGUAGAAGUUUCAAGUGACAAGGACUUUGAAGAAGGAAACGGGAUCAUAACAGAUGUUUCUAAAGACAAGCUGUCACCAGAUCCUAUCGUGGAAAACCAUACGGAAGCCAUUGAUUUCCCAAACAAAAAAGGACGAUGGAGGGUCAACUUUAAUCACUGUUCUCAGUGCAUCGUGUGCACUAAUUUCUCUUGUAGCUGUUGCCUUGGCAAUCGUUUGGAAACUGUAAGCCCACACUUAUCAGAUGACAAUUAUGAAAUAUGAUGAUUAUUAAUUAUUUUAAUAAUAGUUACUUUUAGAUGCCACUGCCGUGGUUUCAUAUUUUUUAUCAUGAUAUUUUGUUGUCCAUUGGGUGUUCUUGAGAAUGUCCUCAGUACUUAUUGAUAUAAAUAAGUUGUAACUCUUUUAGUAAA